GCCGCAACCGCUCCGCGCAGGGGGGGAGCCGCGGCGGAGGGAGGGGGCGCCCGGGGAAGCGGCGUGUGCCGCCGGGGAGGCGGAGGGGGGAGGCUGCACGCGCAGGCACCGAGGGCGAAGUUGGCGGCGGGGGGGGGAACAGGCUUGGCGUGCACGGAGAGAGCCCGGCUCCACGGGGGAGGGGGACGGCAGCAGGUGAGGGGGUGGCUGCGGAACCCGGGGAGGAGGGAGGGGGAGCGGGGACCGAGCCGGAGGUGCGAGGGGAUCCGGGGAGCAGGGGAGAGGCGGCGCCGCUCUGCCCCGGUGCCCCGCGUCGCUUCAGAGGGGCAUCCCCGGGCGCUGUCUCUCGUGGUCCAUCGCUCGCUUCGGCAGCGCGGAGGGUCCGGAGUCCGGCGCGGAUGCGGUGGCGGCGCCCAGGGACCCCCACCGCGGGCAGGGCACCGCACGCUGCGCGACGCGGAGCGGAGAAGCGGCGCGAUCCCGGCGAUCCCAGGAGAAGCUGCACGGAUCCACUCGGUCAGACCAGCUCUUCGGCUCGCUCCCUCGCUUGCUCUUUUAAACAAUAUCUCCCUUGUUGGUGGUUUGGGUUUUAUUAUUAUUAUUGUUAUUAUUAUUUUAAGUGUGAUUUUUGUUGUUGUUGUUGCUGCUGCUGCUGCUCCAGUUAAUCUGUCUCCCUCUGCGUCUUUUUGAUCUUUCGCUCGCCUUGUGCUGGCUUGAACGCUGUGUUUUGUUUUGUUUGGGGUUUUUUGUUUUGUUUGGCUUUUUGGUUUUUGUUUUUGUUUUUUCUUUUUUCUUUUUUUACGCGUCUGAUGUUCCCUCUCGGAUCCGCAGUGAAAGGUCUCGGGGAAGCUGCUUGCUCCUCGCUUAUCUUCUCUGAUCUCCUCCUGCUAAUUUUUCUCCCCUGCAAAAUCACGACAUUGUGGCACUUUCUACUGAAACUUUUAUACAGGAGUUAAAACCACGUGGGAACUCCAACCUAUAACAGAGACGCCAUGGGUUCCUCACUAUUUAGGAGAUUAAGUUAAGUCUUUUGCCCCCUGGGCUAUUACAGUAACUUCCUGAUGUGGAAAUAUUAACUAUGCUGUUUCUUUAACUCCCCCCAUCCCCUCCCUCCCUCCCUCCCGGUUCCUGCAAACACACCCACCACACACCGGCUUGCGUCCCUGUCCNNNNNNNNNNNNNNNNNNNNNNNNGCCGGGAGAUGGAUGCCCCCUUCUUCCCCUCCCCCGGUGCUCCUUGCCUUUUAAGCACUUGAAAGAAGAAGUCAU
rnacentral:lncRNA from 1 species